rnacentral:rRNA from 1 species
GACGAACGCUGGCGGCGUGCCUAAUACAUGCAAGUAGAACGCUGAAGCGAGGAGCUUGCUCUUCUUGGGUGAGUUGCGCACGGGUGAGUAACGCGUAGGUAACCUGCCUGGUAGCGGGGGAUAACUAUUGGACACGAUAGCUAAUACCGCAUAAAAUUGAUUAUUGCAUGAUGAUUAAUUGAAAGAUGCAACUGCGUCACUACCAGAUGGACCUGCGUUGUAUUAGCUAGUUGGUGAGUUAACGGAGCACCAAGGCGAGGAUACGUAGCCGACCGGAGAGGGUGGGCGGCCGCACUGGGACUGUGACACGGCACAUAGGCAUAGGGGAGGCAGCAGUAGUGCAACGUGGGCAAGGGGGGGAAAACAGAGCGAGAAACGCGGCGGGAGGGAAGAAGGUCGUCGGAUCGGAAAGGUCGGUUGUCAGAGAAGAAAGGGUGUGAGAGUGGAAAGUUCACACUGUGACGGUAACGGACAAGAAAGCAACGGCUAACUACGUG